GCUUCAUUAAAUCAGUUAUCGUUUAUUUGAUAGUACCUUACUCCUUGGAUACCCGUGGUAAUUCUAGAGCUAAUACAUGCAAAAAACCCCGACUUCGGGAGGGGUGUAUUUAUUAGAUAAAAAACCAAUGCCCUUCGGGGCUCUUUGGUGAUUCAUGAUAACUUAACGGAUCGCAUGGCCUUGCGCCGGCGACGGUUCAUUCAAAUUUCUGCCCUAUCAACUUUCGAUGGUAAGGUAUUGGCUUACCAUGGUUUCAACGGGUAACGGAUUUUUAGGGAAAGAUCCCGGAGAGGGAGCCUGAGAAACGGCUACCACAUCCAAGGAAGGCAGCAGGCGCGCAAAUUACCCAAUCCCGACACGGGGAGGUAGUGACAAUAAAUACUGAUACAGGGCUCUUUUGGGUCUUGUAAUCGGAAUGAGUACAAUUUAAAUACCUUAACGAGGAACAAUUGGAGGGCAAGUCUGGUGGGCCAGCAGCCGCGGUAAUUCCAGCUCCAAUAGCGUAUAUUAAAGUUGUUGCAGUUAAAAAGCUCGUAGUUGAACCUUGGGCCUGGCUGGCCGGUCCGCCUCACCGCGUGUACUGGUCCGGCCGGGCCUUUCCUUCUGGAGAACCCCAUGCCCUUCACUGGGCGUGGCGGGGAACCAGGACUUUUACUUUGAGAAAAUUAGAGUGUUCAAAGCAGGCCUUUGCUCGAAUACGUUAGCAUGGAAUAAUAGAAUAGGACGUGCGGUCCUAUUUUGUUGGUUUCUAGAACCGCCGUAAUGAUUAAUAGGGAUAGUCGGGGGCGUCAGUAUUCAAUUGUCAGAGGUGAAAUUCUUGGAUCUAUUGAAGACUAACUACUGCGAAAGCAUUCGCCAAGGAUGUUUUCAUUAAUCAGUGAACGAAAGUUAGGGGAUCGAAGACGAUCAGAUACCGUCGUAGUCUUAACCGUAAACUAUGCCGACUAGGGAUCGGGCGAUGUUUCUAUCUUGACUCGCUCGGCACCUUACGAGAAAUCA
rnacentral:rRNA from 1 species